UCAGUUCGGAUUGGAGGCUGAAACCCGCCUCCAUGAAGUUGGAUUCGCUAGUAAUCGCGCAUCAGCCAUGGCGCGGUGAAUACGUUCCCGGGCCUUGUACACACCGCCCGUCAAGCCAUGGGAGCCGGGGGUGCCUGAAGUUCGUGACCGCAAGGAGCGACCUAGGGCAAAACUGGUGACUCGGGGCUAAGUCGUAACAAGGUACC
rnacentral:rRNA from 1 species